rnacentral:rRNA from 1 species
UAAAGCAAGAAAGGGCGUAUGGGGAAUGCCUAGGCACACUCCGGCGAAGAAGGACGCAGCAAACAGCGAAAUGCGACGGUGAGCGGUAAGCACGUGAAGAGCCGUCGAUAUCCGAAUGGGGGAACCCACACGGAGUCAUAUCCGUGUAUCACAUGUCGAAUACAUAGACAUGAUGAGGCGAGACGCAGGGAACUGAAACAUCUAAGUACCUGCAGGAAGAGAAAAUAAGAAUGAUUUUCUGAGUAGCGGCGAGCGAAAGGGAAAGAGCCCAAACCGAUCUGAGGAUCGGGGUAGUAGGAUCAUCGAUAAAUCAAACAGAGGAUCAUAGAGGAAUCACAUGGGAAGGUGAGCGAGAGAGGGUGAGAGCCCCGUACUCGAAAUGAGAGACUGGAGAGAGAUGACACCUGAGUAGGGCGGGACACGAGAAAUCCUGUCUGAAUCAGCCGGGACCAUCCGGCAAGGCUAAAUACGAGAGAGUGACCGAUAGUGAACCAGUACCGUGAGGGAAAGGUGAAAAGAACCCCGGGAGGGGAGUGAAAGAGAACCUGAAACCAUAUGCCUACAAGAAGUCAGAGCCCGUUAAAGGGUGAUGGCGUGCCUUUUGUAGAAUGAACCGGCGAGUUACUGUAUGGAGCGAGGUUAAGCAGGAUAUGCGGAGCCGAAGCGAAAGCGAGUCUUAAGAGGGCGCGAGUUGCAUGCAGUAGACCCGAAACCGGGUGAUCUAGCCAUGACCAGGUUGAAGUUGGGGUAAAACCCGAUGGAGGACCGAACCGACCCCCGUUGAAACGUUGGCGGAUGAGUUGUGGCUAGGGGUGAAAUUCCAAUCGAACCCGGAGAUAGCUGGUUCUCCCCGAAAUAGCUUUAGGGCUAGCGUCGAGAGAAGAGUUGCGUGAAGGUAGAGCACUGAAUAUGUGAUGGCCCCAUCUCGGGGUACUGAGCAUAAUCAAACUGCGAAUGUCACGCCAACAUGCUCGGCAGUCAGACAGCGGGUGAUAAGGUCCGUUGUCAAGAGGGAAACAGCCCAGACCAUCAGCUAAGGUCCCAAAAUGUAUGCUAAGUGGAAAAGGAUGUGGAGAUGUACAGACAACUAGGAGGUUGGCUCAGAAGCAGCCAUCCUUUAAAGAGUGCGUAACAGCUCACUAGUCGAAUGACUCUGCGCCGAUAAUUUACCGGGGCUAAGCAUACUACCGAAGCUAUGGAUCCCAAGGGAUGGUAGGGGAGCGUUCCAUGAACGGAGAAGUACGACCGAAAGGACGUGUGGAGAUCAUGGAAGAGAGAAUGCCGGUGUGAGUAGCGGAACGUGGGUGAGAAUCCCACGCACCGAAAACCCAAGGUUUCCAGAGGAAGGUUCGUCCGCUCUGGGUAAGUCGGGACCUAAGGCGAGGCCGAAAGGCGUAGUCGAUGGACAACAGGUAGAGAUUCCUGUACCCGUAUAUAUGUGAAGGAAUGACGGAGAGAGGAAGCUGCAGCCAGCGGCUGGAAGAGCUGGUGCAAGCGAGAUAUCGGGAUGGCAGGCAAAUCCACCAUCCGAAACGAGAAGGCGUGAAGCGUACGGAAAGCUACGGCGAGUACGGAAGGCAGUGGAGGAACUUCCAAGAAAAGUUUCUAACGUUAAGUAUAUAUGGCCCGUACCGAAAAUGGACACACAUGGGUGAGGAGAGAAUCCUAAGGUGAGCGAGAGAACUAUAGCUAAGGAACUCUGCAAAAUGACUCCGUAACUUAGGGAGAAGGAGUGCUCAUAGAGAUAUGAGCCGCAGUGAAACGGCCCAAGCGACUGUUUACCAAAAACACAGCUCUCUGCUAAGCCGCAAGGCGAAGUAUAGGGGGUGACGCCUGCCCGGUGCUGGAAGGUUAAGGGGAGGGGUUAACGCAAGUGAAGCCCUGAACUGAAGCCCCAGUAAACGGCGGCCGUAACUAUAACGGUCCUAAGGUAGCGAAAUUCCUUGUCAGGUAAGUUCUGACCCGCACGAA